rnacentral:rRNA from 1 species
CCUACGGGAGGCAGCAGUGGGGAAUCUUGCGCAAUGGACGAAAGUCUGACGCAGCCACGCCGCGUGAGUGAAGAAGGCCUUCGGGUUGUAAAGCUCUGUCGUGUGGGACGAAAAACAUUAGGGUUAAUAGCCUUAGUGUCUGACGGUACCAUGAAAGGAAGCACCGGCUAACUCUGUGCCAGCAGCCGCGGUAAUACAGAGGGUGCAAGCGUUGCUCGGAAUUAUUGGGCGUAAAGGGCAGGUAGGUUGUCCUAUUUGUCUGGGGUGAAAUCCCUGAGCUUAACUCAGGAAGUGCCUCAGAAACGGUAGGACUAGAGUCUUAGAGAGGUUCGUGGAAUUCCCGGUGUAGCGGUGAAAUGCGUAGAGAUCGGGAGGAACACCAGAGGCGAAGGCGACGAACUGGAUAAGUACUGACACUCAACUGCGAAAGCGUGGGGAGCAAACAGGAUUAGAUACCCUGGUAGUCCACGCUGUAAACGAUGGGUACUAGACCUUGUGGGAAUUGACCCCUGCAGAGUCGGAGCUAACGCGAUAAGUACCCCGCCUGGGAAUACGGUCGCAAGACUAAAACUUAAAUGAAAUUACGG